rnacentral:rRNA from 1 species
UGAAUACGAGACGCUAAGGCGUCGAAGUAGUGUAUGUCAUACUUCCAAGAAAAGCUUGCACUGUCAUAGAUAAAAAACGCCUGUACCAUAACCGACACAGGUGGGUAGGUAGAGUAUACUAAGGGGCGCGAGAUAACUCUCUCUAAGGAACUCGGCAAAAUAACUCCGUAACUUCGGGAGAAGGAGUGCCUUAUUCGUAAGGUUGCAAUAACAAGAUCCAAGCAACUGUUUAUCAAAAACACAGGUCUCCGCUAAGUCGUAAGGCGAUGUAUGGGGGCUGACGCCUGCCCAGUGCCAGAAGGUUAAAGAAGUUGGUUAGCAAUUGCGAAGCUGAUAACUGAAGCCCUGGUGAACGGCGGCCGUAACUAUAACGGUCCUAAGGUAGCGAAAUUCCUUGUCGGGUAAGUUCCGACCCGCACGAAAGGCGUAAUGAUUUGGAUACUGUCUCGGAGAGGGGCUCGGUGAAAUAGACUUGUCUGUGAAGAUGCGGACUACCUGCACCAGGACAGAAAGACCCUAUGAAGCUUUACUGUAACUUGAAAUUGAAAUUGGACUUUAUUCGCGCAGUAUAGGUGGGAGGCGUUGAUUAUAAUCUUGUGGGAUUAUUGGAGCCAUCAGUGAGAUACCACUCUUGUAAUGUUAGAUUUCUAACUUUGAAUCAUUAUCUGGUCAAAGAACAGUUUCAGGCGGGCAGUUUGACUGGGGCGGUCGCCUCCUAAACGGUAACGGAGGCGUACAAAGGUUUCCUCUGAACGGUUAGAAAUCGUAUCUAGAGUGUAAAGGCAUAAGGAAGCUUGACUGUGAGACCUACAAGUCGAGCAGGGACGAAAGUCGGUCUUAGUGAUCUGACGGUACUGAGUGGAAAGGCCGUCACUCAACGGAUAAAAGUUACUCUAAGGAUAACAGGCUGAUCUCCCCCAAGAGUUCACAUCGACGGGGAGGUUUGGCACCUCGAUGUCGGCUCAUCGCAUCCUGGGGCGGUAGUACGUCCCAAGGGUUGGGCUGUUCGCCCAUGAAAGCGGUACGCGAGCUGGGUUCAGAACGUCGUGAGACAGUUCGGUCCAUAUCCGGUGUAGGCGUUAGAAUAUUGAGAGGAGCCUUCUUUAGUACGAGAGGACCGAGAAGGACAUACCUCUGGUGUACCAGUUAUCGUGCCAACGGUAAACGCUGGGUAGCUAUGUAUGGAGUGGAUAACCGCUGAAAGCAUCUAAGUGGGAAGCCCACCUCAAGAUAAGUAUUCUCAUC